AUUGAACGCUGGCGGCAGGCCUAACACAUGCAAGUCGAACGCCGUAGCAAUACGGAGUGGCAGACGGGUGAGUAACGCGUGGGAACCUUCCCUAUGGUUCGGAAUAGCUCAGGGAAACCUGGGGUAAUACCGGAUAAGCCCUUCGGGGGAAAGAUUUAUCGCCAUUGGAUGGGCCCGCGUCGGAUUAGCUAGUUGGUGAGGUAACGGCUCACCAAGGCGACGAUCCGUAGCUGGUCUGAGAGGAUGAUCAGCCACACUGGGACUGAGACACGGCCCAGACUCCUACGGGAGGCAGCAGUGGGGAAUAUUGGACAAUGGGCGAAAGCCUGAUCCAGCCAUGCCGCGUGAGUGACGAAGGCCUUAGGGUUGUAAAGCUCUUUUGGCGGGGAAGAUAAUGACGGUACCCGCAGAAUAAGCUCCGGCUAACUUCGUGCCAGCCGCCGCGGUAAUAC
rnacentral:rRNA from 1 species